GGGAGGGACAGAUGAUUGAAAAAAUUGAACAGAAAGGCAGUCGUGUGUACAGAGCAGCCUGUGAGAUUCCAAGGAAAUUGAGCAACAACCGUGUCCAAUAAAAAAAGCUUUUUCUGGGCGUUGACAGCCAAUCAGAGGCAGAGCAUCAGAGUCCAUGUUGGUGUGCAGAAGGGCGUGUGAGCUCUAUUUAAACCCACGGCUUUGCACAGAUUACACGGACGCACUUAACCUGCAAAAGACAUCGUCACUGCGUACUCGAGCUGCAGGUAAAAUACUCUGACCUGUCUCUGUGGCUUUGUCACUUAGAGACAGUCACAUAAAUACAAAAAUAAAAGUGUCUUAGUUAUGGUUUAAUUAUUUCUGCAUACCAAAGGUUCACAAGUGUUAUGCAACAUUUAGAUUGUAUGCUUGGAAAUGUUUAAUAGUUUACUCCACUAAAGUUAAUACAGACCUGAUACAAAUGCAUUACUCUGCGGGGCUGCUGCGAUAUAAUGAUAUUUUAUUUUAUAUUGUAUGUCACAUCCUUUUGUUGUUGUUGUUGUUGUUGUUGAUUAUGUUGUUCUACCACUAUCCUAAUUUAAAACUAUCACUUUAUGCAUGUAGUUUUAUGUGCAGAAACUUGAAUAUAAUAGCCUUCAAACUGUUUUUGCAGACGUACUAAUGCUCAGUGUCCAAAUGAUUGUUCGUUUGUUUUUGUUUUUAUCUUUUUAACUACAUAUUUAUGAAAACCAAUUUGUAAGAACAGCCUCUGAGUUUAUUGGGCUUAUAUCAUGGUGUAAUAUGGCUUCAUAUUAUAGAAGUUGGCUUAAAGUGAGUGGCAGCGGUUGGGUCAUGUUAUUUUUUUUCUAACUGCCCAGCCCAGUAUAUCUAGCUUAAAUCAGGUGUGGCCUCAAUUGUGUACUUGUAUGAGCAUGUUAUGAAGAUAAUGUCUUUAGUGAUGAAAUAAUCAUGUGUUCCUGCUCUCACAAACUUUCUUCUCGAAACUCCCUCACUCCCUGUUUUAGUCAAUAUCUGUGUUUUUGAGUUUCUAGAAUUUCUUUCAUCUCCCUUUCUUAAUUUUUUCUUCUUUAGAAAUCUUCAAAAAUGUCAGACUGCCAAAAUAAUGUCAACCAGGAGGUGACGGAUUUUGACAAAAAAAAACUGCGGAAGAGUGAGACUCAAGAAAAAAACACGCUUCCAACAGCAGAUGGUAUGUGAUGAAAAGACAAAGUAAAAGUUAACCUCUAACAAAAACAGCAACUUCAAACACUUGAUCAUUUAUGGCGUGCAAGUCCACACCCAAGAUUUUAUGAUAUAGCGAAUGAACUGGUCUGAUAUAUUAUUGCAAGAUAAAAAGAUAUCUUGUUUAAAGCCACAGUGUAUGAAGAGGCAACGUCAGGCACUUCAGCCUCAUAUUGUACAGCAGAGAAAUGAAAUGAAGUUUUUAAAAGAAGUGAGUUUGAUGAGUGACUGAUGUAAGAUUUACUGUGACAUCAAGUCCCAGAGAGACAAAACUUAACUCCAAUAAGUGCUAAAAUGUUGAAGUUUAGGGGCUCCAUUUUGAUUUAUACUUCAUUGAACUGUUGUGUGAGUGAAAACACACCCUUUGCGAGACGUAGCUCCACUAAUGCAUUUUGUAAGUCAUAAACAGUCUUAAACAGAGUGCAGGUGGUGUCAACAGCCUUAAAGAUCUUGCUAUGACCACUAACUUAGCUCACAUUUACAGCAGAUAAAGUAAUAGAUAUUGCGCAAUCAUUGAUAUGGUUCUACAUUUUAUUUAGUAUUUAGUCCUGUGUAACAAGCUGUGAGCAUGGCGUUGAGUUUUGUGUGCAUCUUUCUGCUAUUUGAAUACGCAUUAUGUUGUUUUCCAGGACAAAGAUAAUCCAGCCUAAAGUCUACCAUAGCAGAGACUAAAAUUCCAAUAGCUUUACCUAUAGUUUUUGCAAAAGUAGAGCUAAAUUGCCGGAGUAGCUCUUCAAAUAUUUGAACUUCUGAUAGUGUUAGACAGAAACUGAGGGAGAGGAAAAGCUUACCAAUUACUUGAAGAUAUUAGCAAGACUGGGAAAGACCAAUUCAUUUCAAACCAGUGAUUUUGAAUUCAGAUUUUUGGGUUUGACUAAAAUUAAUUGAUUUUUUUUUCUAUAUCAGUAUGAUCUCUAAUUCCAGCAAGAGUUAGAAACUCUUCUUUUGUCUCCUGACUCAGUCACAGAUUGAUUGCCUUUUCUCUGUCUUUCUUUUAAUCCUGCAGACAUUAAACAAGAGAAAAAAGAGGAACAAGAGCAACAAAAGAAACAAGCCAAGGCACCGAAUCAAUCAUGAUUCCUCUCACUUACUCCUGUCCUGGUACCUGCUCUUCAUCCAGGCAGGAGUGCUGUCCAUCAUCUCCACCUCGGUUUCUGCUUUCUGUACCGCCAUGGCUGAUCCACAAUGGUGUUUGGGCUGAUGAUGGGGAAAAAUUAGUCUCUAUCCUCUUGAUAAAUCAAUGUAAUGGGUGAUUUUAGUGUGUGCUUUUCACGCGGAUUACAAAGGUUUGAAUUGUUUAAUUUGGCAGGUUCAAAAUCUAGGGGAAAAACCUAUUGCAUAGAUGAAAACUAAAGCUAAUGCUUUGUUUACAGCAGCAAAAGUAUGUCUGUAAAUUGUGCCAUAUUGGAUUUGUACUGAAAAACAACCCUUUCUAUUAUAUUUUUAUUUUAAUAAAAACUUUUGAAUAAGCUUUUAUAAGA